UACGGAGGAUGCGAGCGUUAUCCGGAAUCAUUGGGUUUAAAGGGUGCGUAGGCUGGUAUUUAAGUCAGUGGUGAAAUUUUCGUGCUUAACAUGAGAGCUGCCAUUGAUACUGGAUACCUUGAGUGUAUUUGAUGUGGGCGGAAUGUGUUGUGUAGCGGUGAAAUGCAUAGAUAUGACACAGAACACCGAUAAGCGAAGGCAGCUCACAAAGUUACAACUGACGCUGAUGCACGAAAGCGUGGGGAUCAAACAGG
rnacentral:rRNA from 1 species